CGGAGCGUGGCGCAGCAUGGUAGCGCACUUGCAUGGGGUGCAAGGGGUCCCCGGUUCAAAUCCGGGCGCUCCGA
rnacentral:tRNA from 2 species